rnacentral:rRNA from 1 species
UACGUAGGGUCCGAGCGUUGUCCGGAAUUAUUGGGCGUAAAGGGCUCGUAGGCGGUUUGUCGCGUCGGGAGUGAAAACACGGGGCUUAACCCCGUGCCUGCUUCCGAUACGGGCAGACUAGAGGUAUGCAGGGGAGAACGGAAUUCCUGGUGUAGCGGUGAAAUGCGUAGAUAUCAAGAGGAACACCUGCGGCGAAGGCGGGUUGCUGGGCUGACACUGACGCUGAGGCGCGAAAGCUAGGGGAGCGAACGGG